CAUUUUUGAAGUUAGGUAUUAUUAUAUUCCAAACUGCACAUAAUAUUUGAAUCCUCGACGUUACUUUAAAAUCAAUUAUGGCAGUCAAUAAAAUAUGGAAUUCAACACUAAUCGCUGUGUUUGUUUUUAUACCAGUGGAUUACACUUGCGCCGGUAAAUAUACCUGAUUAAAAGUGCAUUAAUUUUGUGAUGGUAUCGGUGAUUUUAUUGUUUCCCAUACACACAUACAUACCCACAAAUAUGAUUUGUAUUUUAAACGGUAUCUACAAUAUAUUUUACAAAUACAGACAUAAUUUUUUUUCAUAUAGAUAAUCCGCACGAAAUUCAAGUGCUCGAAAAACGAAACAGUGGUAUUAUUUUUAUAACAUUUUAUUAACAAUAGUCUAUUAUUUAUCUUUUUUCAUAUAUCACGUACGUUCAAAUCAUUUACUCAACAAUCGGUCUCGUUUAUUUCUUUGUUUUCCAGAAUGUGUGGG